UUGAACGCUGGCGGCAGGCCUAACACAUGCCAGUCGAACGGUAGCACAGAGGAGCUUGCUUCUUGGGUGACGAGUGGCGGACGGGUGAGUAAUGUCUGGGAAACUGCCCGAUGGAGGGGGAUAACUACUGGAAACGGUAGCUAAUACCGCAUAACGUCGCAAGACCAAAGAGGGGGACCUUCGGGCCUCUUGCCAUCGGAUGUGCCCAGAUGGGAUUAGCUGGUAGGUGGGGUAACGGCUCACCUAGGCGACGAUCCCUAGCUGGUCUGAGAGGAUGACCAGCCACACUGGAACUGAGACACGGUCCAGACUCCUACGGGAGGCAGCAGUGGGGAAUAUUGCACAAUGGGCGCAAGCCUGAUGCAGCCAUGCCGCGUGUAUGAAGAAGGCCUUCGGGUUGUAAAGUACUUUCAGCGGGGAGGAAGGCGACACGGUUAAUAACCGUGUCGAUUGACGUUACCCGCAGAAGAAGCACCGGCUAACUCCGUG
rnacentral:rRNA from 1 species